GAAAAUUCAGCCUCAUCAGCAUCAAAGAUUGAUGCAGAAGUUGUGACAAUGGAAGAUUAUAAUCAGCUUGUUCAUGAGCUAGAACAACUACGAAAAGAUAGAGCAACUGAAAUUGCCAGAACUUACUUACUUGAGAUGGACUAAUGCUUGCUUAAGGCAUGAAUUGAUGAGAAUUCAUGAACAAGAGCAAGAAAUUGAGCAGAAGAAAGAACAUUUGGAUGCAGGUGGAGAGAUUAGAGAUUGUGGAUUGGUACAGCAACAAGACAGAUCAGUUUUGAACAUUAAUGAACCUUGCAUAGGUGUGGCAAGCAGUAGCCCUGAUCAGGGUGGUUCAAAAAGGAAAAAGUUGCUUCACAAGCUUAAGAAAUGGGUAGAAAGGAGUGACCACAUGAAAUCAAAGCUGGAAGAGAAAGAAAAGCAAGAAAU
rnacentral:misc_RNA from 1 species